AUUGAACGCUGGCGGCAGGCCUAACACAUGCAAGUCGAGCGGAUGAAGGGAGCUUGCUCCUGGAUUCAGCGGCGGACGGGUGAGUAAUGCCUAGGAAUCUGCCUGGUAGUGGGGGAUAACGUCCGGAAACGGGCGCUAAUACCGCAUACGUCCUGAGGGAGAAAGUGGGGGAUCUUCGGACCUCACGCUAUCAGAUGAGCCUAGGUCGGAUUAGCUAGUUGGUGGGGUAAAGGCCUACCAAGGCGACGAUCCGUAACCGGUCUGAGAGGAUGAUCAGUCACACUGGAACUGAGACACGGUCCAGACUCCUACGGGAGGCAGCAGUGGGGAAUAUUGGACAAUGGGCGAAAGCCUGAUCCAGCCAUGCCGCGUGUGUGAAGAAGGUCUUCGGAUUGUAAAGCACUUUAAGUUGGGAGGAAGGGCAGUAAGUUAAUACCUCGCUGUUUUGACGUUACCAACAGAAUAAGCACCGGCUAACUUCGUG
rnacentral:rRNA from 1 species